AGGAAGGAAUGGGCAACGGUAGGUCAGCAUGCCCCGAAUUAUCUGGGCUACACGCGGGCUACAAUGGGUGGGACAAUGGGUAUCGACACCGAAAGGUGAAGGCAAUCUCCUAAACCCAUCCGUAGUUCGGAUUGUGGGCUGCAACUCGCCCACAUGAAGCUGGAAUCUGUAGUAAUCGUGUCUCAAAAUGGCACGGUGAAUAUGUCCCUGCUCCUU
rnacentral:rRNA from 1 species